rnacentral:rRNA from 1 species
CGCGAAUCGCCCUUCGGGGUGCACCAGGCGCGAAAACUUUGCAAUACACGAAAGUGUGACAGGGUCAUCCCGAGUGCCGACCGCUGAGGUUGGCUUUUACCCAGUCUAGAAAGCUGGGGGAAUAAGGAGAGGGCAAGUCUGGUGUCAGCCGCCGCGGUAAUACCAGCUCUCCGAGUGGUGUGGACGUUUAUUGGGCCUAAAGCAUCCGUAGCUGGCUGAACAAGUCCCCUGUUAAACCCACCGAUUUAAUCGUUGGUCUGCGGGGGAUACUGCUCGGCUAGGGGACGAGAGAGGCAGACGGUAUUCCCGGGGUAGGGGUGAAAUCCUAUAAUCCCGAGAAGACCACCAGUGGCGAAGGCUGUCUGCUAGAACGCGCCCGACGGUGAGGGAUGAAAGCUGGGGGAGCGAACCGGAUUAGAUACCCGGGUAGUCCCAGCUGUAAACGAUGCAGACUAGGUGUUUGGACGGCCACGUGCCGUUCUAGUGCCGCAGGGAAGCUGUUAAGUCUGCCGCCUGGGGAGUACGAUCGCAAGAUUGAAACUUAAAGGAAUUGGCGGGGGAGCAC